rnacentral:lncRNA from 1 species
AUUGAGCAAAUGCAAUAUAAAUAAGUCCUAUGAACAAAUGAUAAAUCAAAUAAGUUAAAUAGCAAUGUAUAAAUAAAUUAUAAAAGUAUGAAAAAGAUUAAUUAUACAAAUAAUCAAAAAUAAAACUUUAAUUAUUUAAUCAAAAUAUUUAAUUGGUUAGAUAACCUAAGAUGAUCUAAUUAAUUUAAAUAAAGUAAGUUAUAUAUAAACAAACAAAAAAAAAACCAACUAAU